CCACAUUCCAUUUGGCAUGUCUGGGAGGCUUAGCCCAAUUGACCGAGCCUAGCCUCACAACAAGGCAGCUCCUUCUGUCGCUUGUCACUAUGUCCAGAGCUCAACCUAGAAUGUAAUCUGUCUAGAGGACAAGCACACAAUGAUCUGGGAAUGGGAUUUCGAAAACCUGUGUCAAUGGGCUUGAUGCUGAGAUGGACAUGCUGAUUAGCCUCAAACUGUGAAAAUCAUAAUCUGCCUGUCACACCUUACCCAGUGCUGGAAUUCAUAUAUACAUCAACUCAUCUGGCUACAGUUCUAAGGAAGAAGGAAAGAAGAGGGGAGGAUACAAACAAAGGAAAAAAAACAAUGGAAAUGAGAAAGUUCAUGCGUACUGUUCUCAAAAUAGAAAAUUCUGUGAAUCCAGACUUACCUCUGAGAGAAUGUAUUUGCUAGGAAUUCCUCUAACUGGCUAUCCUCUUCCUACAGAGUCUAGCGCAUGAAUCCUAAAAUAAAG
rnacentral:lncRNA from 1 species